CGGUUGUAGCUAAAUAAAUGUCGCGAAGUUAACUGGCCGAUUGUCAUGAGAUCUUGCGAUCUCCGUCGACGAAUCCGCCUUUUGAUUUGUUCACACUU